rnacentral:rRNA from 1 species
AUACGGAGGGUGCGAGCGUUAAUCGGAAUUACUGGGCGUAAAGCGUACGUAGGCGGUUGGUUAAGUUAGAUGUGAAAGCCCCGGGCUUAACCUGGGAACUGCAUUUAAAACUGGCGAACUAGAGUUGAGUAGAGGGGAGUGGAAUUUCAGGUGUAGCGGUGAAAUGCGUAGAGAUCUGAAGGAACACCAGUGGCGAAGGCGACUCCCUGGACUAAAACUGACGCUGAGGUACGAAAGCGUGGGUAGCAAACAGGAUUAGAUACCCCAGUAGUCC